CGCCGGGGGAGCCCUGAGCAGCCUGCACAGCAGGAUGUCCUGGAGGGAACCAGAGCCCCCGCCUGACAGCCUAUCCUGUGCGUCUCCCCUGCCGUCUGAUCCGAUCCGUGGCACCACCUCCGCCUACUUUGCCCCUGAAGCUGAGUAGCACAGGCUUUGUACCAAGGGAGAAGAGGAGGAAAAGAUGAAAGGCCCAAGGUUCUGGCCUCCAUCCAAGAAGGUUCCACAGGAAGGACCAUCCCUCUGGCCAGCUCUACCAGAACAAACAACUCUGCUUUGACCUGUUCCUAUCCAGGAGAUCCCACCUUUUUUUUUUUUUUUUUUUUUUUUUUUUUUGAGACAGAGUCUUGCUCUGUUGCCCAGGCUGGAGUGCAGUGGUGCCAUCUCGGCUCACUGCAAGCUCCGCCUCCUGGGUUCACGCCAUUCUCCUGCCUCAGCCUCCCAAGUAGCUGGGACUACAGGCACCCACUACCACACCCAGCUAAUUUUUUGUAUUUUAAGUAGAGACGGGGUUUCACCAUGUUAGCCAGCAUGGUCUCGAUCUCCGAGAUCCCACUUUAUACAAAAGAAAGGUGUUCUCCAUUCUUAGGAACAUGGAAAAGGGGAAUCCAUACUUGUGUGAAAGUAGCCCCUAAGCCACCUCCCUCCUGGAGAUUCUAAGGAAACUUAUCAGCCCACCAUCCCUAAAGAACUCCUCCCAAGGCCUCAGGCACUGCUCCUUUCCAGGUUUCAGGGGGAGCAUGCUCCAGCAGCCGACCUGUCCCCACCCGGCACCAGCUGCCACAACCUGAAAAUCCGCUUGCUGCCAAGAGCUGCCUGAGCCCAGCCCAGGCUCCCACCCUGCCUCAGAGACAGGAUCCACCUGCCUACUCCUGGUGAGAGCUCUAGAGAGCUACGGGGGCCCGGCCCAGCUGGCUGCAGGCGCAGCUGUUCCACCUAUCCCAGAGCAUCCCUGACCACUAUAGGCAGCCAGAGCUUCAGGCGGACCCAGGAACUGUCCUACUCUCCAGCUUCCCGACCCAUCGCCCUCCACCCCUGAGCUCCUAGAGGACCUUGGAGACGGGAGGAAAGGCCUCCAGGUUCAGGCCUGAUCCCUCUCCGGGUGGGGCACUAGGGAGGUUGGGUUGCCCAGGGAAAGUAGAUAUUACUCAUACAUAGUAACAGCAUAAUUGCUCACCCAGCUCCUUCCAAAGAUCAGUUAAUAAAAUUAAAAGGAAAAGGCAGUCACCUCCCACGAAGGUAUCUAUUGCCUGAGAUCCUUUCCUAGGGGGCCGCCUCAUUUUAUUUGGUCCUUCAAUAAGUCCCCAGGGCUGGGGAUGUGGUCGAUGGUCUCGAUGCGCAAAGCACCGUUCCCGCGCGAACAUCCACAUUCAGACAAAUGCCUGAGGGACGC
rnacentral:lncRNA from 1 species